AUUGAACGCUGGCGGCAGGCCUAACACAUGCAAGUCGAGCGGAUGAAGGGAGCCUGCUCCUGGAUUCAGCGGCGGACGGGUGAGUAAUGCCUAGGAAUCUGCCUGGUAGUGGGGGAUAACGUCCGGAAACGGGCGCUAAUACCGCAUACGUCCUGAGGGAGAAAGUGGGGGAUCUUCGGACCUCACGCUAUCAGAUGAGCCUAGGUCGGAUAGCUAGUUGGUGGGGUAAAGGCCUACCAAGGCGACGAUCCGUAACUGGUCUGAGAGGAUGAUCAGUCACACUGGAACUGAGACACGGUCCAGACUCCUACGGGAGGCAGCAGUGGGGAAUAUUGGACAAUGGGCGAAAGCCUGAUCCAGCCAUGCCGCGUGUGUGAAGAAGGUCUUCGGAUUGUAAAGCACUUUAAGUUGGGAGGAAGGGCAGUAAGUUAAUACCUUGCUGUUUUGACGUUACCAACAGAAUAAGCACCGGCUAACUUCGUG
rnacentral:rRNA from 1 species